CUUUGCUUCUUUCAGUGUCUCUCGUUGCUUUUAUGGUUGGAAGAACGCUACGAGACUGUAUACACACGCCAUCCUGGUUUCCAGAAAGGAUCUAAGCCACUCCUUGCAGUAGAUAACCCAUUCCCAAUGGAACUUCCAGAAAAUCUUGUUGGGGAGAAAUGGGCCUUUGUCCAAUUGCCCUUUUCAGCUGUUCAAGAGGAAAUCUCAUCCUUGGACUCAAACCUCGUGUUUGGUGCGAGUCUAGAUUUGGAUUUGUUGGGGAUUGAAAUUGAUGACAAGACAUUGA